GGUGUCCCCAUGGUGUCCCCAUGUCCCUCAGAUCCCUCCUGAUGUCCCCAUGGUGUCCCCAUGUCCCUCAGAUCCCUCCUGAUGUCCCUAUGGUGUCCCCAUGUCCCUCAGGCCCCUCCUGAUAUCCCCAUGGUGUCCCCAUGUCCCUCAGGCCCCUCCUGAUAUCCCCAUGGUGUCCCCACGUCCCUCAGGUCCUUCAUGGUGUCCCUGUGGUGUCCCCAUUUCCUUCUGGCCCUUCCUGGUGUCCCCAUGGUGUCCCCGUGUCCCUCAGGUCCUUCAUGGUGUCCCUACGGUGUCCCCAUGGUGUCCUCAUGUCCCUCAGGUCCCUCCUGAUAUCCCCAUGGUGUCCCCAUGUCCCUCAGGUCCCUCAUGAUGCUAUUGUGGUGUCCCUAUGUGUCCCCAUGGUGUCCCCAUGACCUUCAGGUCCCUCCUGGUGUCCCCAUGGUGUCCCCAUGUCCCCCAGGUCCCUCCUAAUAUCCCCAUGGUGUCCCCAUAUCCUUCAGAUCCUCCACGGUGUCCCCAUGGAGUCCCCACGGUGUUCCCAUGUCCUUCAGAUUCUGCAUGAUGUCUCCAUGGUGUCCUUUGGGUCACUCUUGGUGUCCCCAUGGUGUCCCCAUGUCCCUCAGGUCCCUCAUGAUGCCCUUGUGGUGUCCC